rnacentral:rRNA from 1 species
CAGCCGCCACGGUAAUACGUAGGUGGCAAGCGUUGUCCGGAAUUAUUGGGCGUAAAGGGCUCGCAGGCGGUUUCUUAAGUCUGAUGUGAAAGCCCCCGGCUCAACCGGGGAGGGUCAUUGGAAACUGGGAAACUUGAGUGCAGAAGAGGAGAGUGGAAUUCCACGUGUAGCGGUGAAAUGCGUAGAGAUGUGGAGGAACACCAGUGGCGAAGGCGACUCUCUGGUCUGUAACUGACGCUGAGGAGCGAAAGCGUGGGGAGCGAACAGGAUUAGAUACCCCCGUAGUCGCUGUCUCUUAUAC